rnacentral:sRNA from 2 species
GUUUGCACUUGUCGGGGAAGGGUGAGAACCUUCGAUUAAGGUUCGACUCAAGCGAAAGCGAGAGAACGUUGCCAACGGCAACGGCCCGUAGGGUGAGGAGCGAAGCGACGAAUAAUCCUUCCCCCACCACCA